CUGUGUCUCUCCUGUGCUCAUGUCUAAGUUCAGGAGGCAGAAACUGCAUCAGGCCUUGUGAUGCUAAUGGCUGGCUAUACAGUGUGUUUCUCUUCAGCUCUGGAUGGGUGAGACACUCCCAUGGUAUCGCGGAGCCACACACCGUGAAGGACAGUAGAAUGAUUCCAUGUGAAUGGUAAAGCAGUGAUAAGAACUUGAUCCAAAGGAGCCUUCCAACUGAAGUCAAGCCAGCUGUUACUUGUAUGGUCAAAAACCAUGAUGGCACCUACAAGGCAUGUGAUUUUGAGUAUUAAGUUACUUUAUCUCUCUGUGCUUUAUCUAUAAGGCACUUAUUGAUGUAAUUCUUGGAAUCAGGAUUUUAAAAUAUGAGACUCUGAGAAGACUAUGUUUGAAACACAGAAGAUUCUGUAGGGCUCCUUUUAGUACUUCCAUGUCCAAUGGGAAAAAUGAAUGGCAGAUCACAAACAUCUAAAGACAGAGACACAGAGCCAUUCAGAACUAACAAAUAAAGGUGUGGGUCACUCCAGAAGGUAAGUAACUCCAA